AUGAACGCUAGCUACAGGCUUAACACAUGCAAGUCGAGGGGCAGCAUGGUCUUAGCUUGCUAAGGCUGAUGGCGACCGGCGCACGGGUGAGUAACACGUAUCCAACCUGCCGUCUACUCUUGGCCAGCCUUCUGAAAGGAAGAUUAAUCCAGGAUGGGAUCAUGAGUUCACAUGUCCGCAUGAUUAAAGGUAUUUUCCGGUAGACGAUGGGGAUGCGUUCCAUUAGAUAGUAGGCGGGGUAACGGCCCACCUAGUCAACGAUGGAUAGGGGUUCUGAGAGGAAGGUCCCCCACAUUGGAACUGAGACACGGUCCAAACUCCUACGGGAGGCAGCAGUGAGGAAUAUUGGUCAAUGGGCGAUGGCCUGAACCAGCCAAGUAGCGUGAAGGAUGACUGCCCUAUGGGUUGUAAACUUCUUUUAUAAAGGAAUAAAGUCGGGUAUGCAUACCCGUUUGCAUGUACUUUAUGAAUAAGGAUCGGCUAACUCCGUGCCAGCAGCCGCGGUAAUACGGAGGAUCCGAGCGUUAUCCGGAUUUAUUGGGUUUAAAGGGAGCGUAGAUGGAUGUUUAAGUCAGUUGUGAAAGUUUGCGGCUCAACCGUAAAAUUGCAGUUGAUACUGGAUGUCUUGAGUGCAGUUGAGGCAGGCGGAAUUCGUGGUGUAGCGGUGAAAUGCUUAGAUAUCACGAAGAACUCCGAUUGCGAAGGCAGCCUGCUAAGCUGCAACUGACAUUGAGGCUCGAAAGUGUGGGUAUCAAACAGGAUUAGAUACCCUGGUAGUCCACACGGUAAACGAUGAAUACUCGCUGUUUGCGAUAUACGGCAAGCGGCCAAGCGAAAGCGUUAAGUAUUCCACCUGGGGAGUACGCCGGCAACGGUGAAACUCAAAGGAAUUGACGGGGGCCCGCACAAGCAGUGGAGUAUGUGGUUUAAUUCGAAGCAACGCGAAGAACCUUACCAGGGCUUGACAUAUAAGUGAAUAAUUAAGAGAUUAGUUAGCUCUUCGGAGCACUUAUACAGGUGGUGCAUGGUUGUCGUCAGCUCGUGUCGUGAGAUGUUGGGUUAAGUCCCGCAACGAGCGCAACCCUUGUGAUAUGUUACUAACAUUGAGUUGAGGACUCAUAUCAGACUGCCGGUGAUAAACCGGAGGAAGGUGGGGAUGACGUCAAAUCAGCACGGCCCUUACGUCCGGGGCUACACACGUGUUACAAUGGGGGGUACAGAGGGCCGCUACCACGCGAGUGGAUGCCAAUCCCUAAAACCCCUCUCAGUUCGGACUGGAGUCUGCAACCCGACUCCACGAAGCUGGAUUCGCUAGUAAUCGCGCAUCAGCCACGGCGCGGUGAAUACGUUCCCGGGCCUUGUACACACCGCCCGUCAAGCCAUGGGAGCCGGGGGUACCUGAAGUGCGUAACCGCGAGGAUCGCCCUAGGGUAAAACUGGUGACUGGGGCU
rnacentral:rRNA from 1 species